CUCCAAUACAGUGUCUCAUCUUUAAUGGCAGCUUCUGUAGUCUGGCAGAGAUGAAAACAGGCCACGGAUGAAAGGAAGCCUCUGUUUCUCAGGAUGACCAGGUGUACUGAGUUUUUCUAGUCUCCCAGACUUUACCACUGCCUUUACCCAUGAUAUGCUCCAUCUGCCAAGCCACCUCUGGAAUAGAAUUAUGCUUCUAAUGGACCUUCCCAGCCUCCCAAACAGCUCUCCAACCAGGAAUGAACACCCAGGGAACCAGUUGAACUUCCUACUUGUAUUGACUCAGAGCCUAAAAGAAAACAGAAGAAAAUGUGCAAAAUUACUAAGGUUCUUGGUCAAUUCUCUGGCUACAAGUUAGCAGCUUCUUUCCUCAGAAUUCUGACUUUCUCCUCGUUAAAGGUGGAAUUACAUCCCACCUCACCACCACCCCAGAAUUCAUAUGUUGAAGUUCUAGCCUUCCAGUACCUAAGAAUGUGACCUUAUUUGAAAAUAAGGUUGUUGUAGGUGUAACAAAAGUUAACAAGAGGUCUUAUUGGAGUAGGGUGGGCUCCUAAUCCAAUAUAAGGAGGCCCUUAUAAAAAGGGAAAAUUUGGACACAGACACUCAGAGGGAAGACGUGAAGACACAGGGAGGAGAAAGCCAAGUGAUGACAGAUGCAAAGAUUAGAGUAAUAUAUCUGUAAUCCAAGGAAUCCCAAGGAUUGCUGGCAAACACCAGAAGCUAGAAGAAGCAAGGAAGGAUUCUCCCCUACAAAUUUAAGAGGGAACAUGGCCC
rnacentral:lncRNA from 1 species